rnacentral:tRNA from 1 species
UAACUAUUAAUUUAAAAAAAAUAUUAAUCUUGUAAAUUAAAAAUAAAAUAAUUUUUAUAGUUAU